CUAGUAAUCGCGAAUCAGAAUGUCGCGGUGAAUACGUUCCCGGGCCUUGUACACACCGCCCGUCACACCAUGAGAGUCGAUAACACCCGAAGCCUGUGAGCUAACCUUUUAGGAGGCAGCAGUCGAAGGUGGGGGUUGAUGAUUGGGGUGAAGUCGUAACAAGGUAAC
rnacentral:rRNA from 1 species